rnacentral:sRNA from 2 species
GGACGGGGUGGUGUGAUUUUGGGAAUGCGCGCCUCAUUCCCUCGGUGGUCUCCUCCUCGACAGGAACGGUUCCAUCAGUUAUUCAACGUGCUAUGGCACCUAUAAUUUGCAUGGACAGUACUAGUAUGAUAUCGUGAGAUAUAAGCAGCCUGUGUCCGAGGGGCCCUUCCCAGAUUGGAGAAGAAGGAUAAUUAUUAUGGGAAUUGCCACAUUGAUAUCGCUUUGAGUGGUAUAUUGGAGUUGACGAAUUUAUUUUUAGGUGUUGCUAACUAACAUAGAGAUGGUCCGAGCUUUGGGUGAAAUAAGGUUUGGGUUUUGUCCCGGACCGCGGUUCACUGAUGUCAAAUAGGACUAGUUCACAGAUUAGGUCUUCCCGUGACCGCGGCGGUGGUCUGUGCGGAGUUUACCACAAACGACAAUGUUUAUUGUUCUCACGAAGGA